GUACUUCCAAAGUACAUAUACUAAAAUUGGAACGAUACAGAGAAGAUUAGCAUGGCCCCUGCGCAGUGAAUUUAUAUUGAUACAAAUACAGCGCAGCACUUAU